UACGAAGGGGGCUAGCGUUGCUCGGAAUCACUGGGCGUAAAGCGCACGUAGGCGGAUCUUUAAGUCAGGGGUGAAAUCCUGGAGCUCAACUCCAGAACUGCCUUUGAUACUGGGGAUCUCGAGUCCGGAAGAGGUGAGUGGAACUCCGAGUGUAGAGGUGAAAUCGUAGAUAUUCGGAAGAACACCAGUGGCGAAGGCGGCUCACUGGUCCGGUACUGACGCUGAGGUGCGAAAGCGUGGGGAG
rnacentral:rRNA from 1 species